CGGAAAGCAUCCAGCAAGGAAAAACGGAUAAACAUUGUUAAGGUCGUUCCAACAGCUUCCAGAAAGAAGGAUGGCUCGGAUCGAUUCAGGUGUUUUCGCUGAUUUCAAAAGACCGGCUUAAGCGUUCAUCAACCAUGAGAAAGUGCCUCCGGAGGUUUUCCAGUCUACAUGUUCUUACAAUAAACCCUGAGAGCCAGCGUUCAAAAAUGUGGAGAGACGCACGCACGUUGCACCCUGACAGAAGCUCAUGAGGGUGCAUCAUCCUGCUAAAAGAAGCCACAGCCGUCUGGGAACGAUGUACAUGGUUGCAACAAUGCUUAGGUAGGUGUUACGUGUCAUAGCAACAUCCACAUUAAUCGCAGGACCCAAGGCUUCCCAGCAGAACAUUGACCAAAGCAUCACACUGGCUCUCCUGGCUUGCCAUCCUGGUGCCAGGCGUU